rnacentral:lncRNA from 1 species
CCAGAUUGAUACAUGUACCUUAUGGGGUUUUAUCGGAUUAAAAUCUGGAUUGAUAUUUAUGUCGUUCGGGGCUUUACUGAAUUGGAAUCUGGAUUGAUAUAUGUGCCUUAUGGGGCUUAUCGGAUUGAAAUCUAGAUUGGUAUUCAUACCCUUUGGAGCUUUACUGGACUAAAAUUCAGAUUGAUACAUGUUGUUGCUCCAAGAUUGAUUUUGAUGAUUACAAAGC